UUCUUCUUCUUCUUUCUCCUUCUUCUUCUUUGCCUCUGGAGAUUCCGUGAGAGAUUUGUAAGAUUUGAGUGAGUUUAAUUGAGUGAUGAUUAUCCGAUGAUGCUGAUAGAUGGCAGAGAAUAUAGAAUGAUCGAUAGGUAUGAAGCAGAACAGUUAAGGUUCGAAUAUGAGAUGAAUUGAAUUUAGGGUUUAUAGAGAUGAUUGAUGUUCUAAAGAUAUAGAAGAUGAAUUAAGGAGCUAUUUUUGAUGAAGAAUCAUGGGUAGAAGUUUAAUUACAGUUCUGAAGUCUUUUUGGAGAUGAUCAAGAGUUAGGGUUUUGUUCUUCCCCAAAUUAGAAUUAGGGUUUUCAAGAUGAACUGAUGAUUCGAUUAGUGAAGAAGAAGAAGAUAAAGGGUAUGUUUGUUAAUUUGAAGACUUAGCAAUCGAUUUCUCAAGUUCAGUAAAGAAUUGAAUGGAACCAGGGUUUCUCAGAAGAUUGGUUUUAAGUUUAAUUUAGUGAUGAACAAGAGAAAUUAGGGACUGGGUUUGAUAUCAAUUAGAGUUUGGAGUUGAAGAAUAACUUGAAAUGGAUAGUCAUGGUUUGACCGGUGAUUCUGAAGUUAUUGAACUGAACUGGUGGGUUUGCUGUUGUCAUAAGAUGAUCCAAGUCAAGCAAGCAAGGGGAGUUGAUCUCAAUUUGAUAGAAUGAAUCUAAAUGGAGGUAAAUAUUUAUUUAAGUGAAUUAGUAUGGCAUUCGGUUUUUAUUUAGUAUAUAUGUUUGAUAAUAGAGUUGAGGAUUGAAAUGAAUUUACUAUGAUUGUGGAGUUAUAAGUCAUUGGUGGUGAUGUUGAAAUAAUAGAAAGAUUAUUGACGUUGCAGGGGAUUUAUGUAUGAACUGUAAUUUGUUGGUAGUGGCUGUGUAAGUUACAGGAUUCGGAAAUCAGUGAGCUGUUAUGGAAUUGGGUCUGUGGUGAAUGAGGAUUUAGUGAUGCAGUGAAAUGGAGUUGCAGAUUAUUAUGUACUGCAUUCUGGGUUGCAGUUGUUGAAGUCUGAUUGUGCUGGUGAACUUCUUGUAAGAAAGUUGUGUAUGGAGUAAGUUUAUAUAAAUCAGUUGUUGCAGAUAUUAGUGGUGGUUCUGUAUGUGGGGUGCAGGUUCUGUCAUAUGGAUGAAAUGGUGGAAUUCUUGAGUACUGAAGUUGUGCAGAAUAGAGUGUUGAUGCUAAGGUUGUAGUUAGUGGUAGUUUUAGUGGAAUCUUGUUGUUGCAGGGGAGAUGUAAGUGCAGAGCAUGGAUGUUGGAGUUAGACUAGAGAUGAGAUGGGUAGCGAGUGAAAUAGUGUAAGAAGAAUGAGAUAGUAAAGAUGUAGAUAUUGGUAACUGUAUGGUUGUAGAUGGUAGCUUCAGUGAAGGCUUGCAUCUGAUGUUGCAGUAGAUCGUGGAUCUCGAGGUAGGCGUGGCUUGUCAUCAAAAGAGUUUCAGAGACAGAUCAGAGUUGCGCAGCGGAAGCUUCGAGGAGUUCAGUCCGCAGUUAAUUAACUUCUGCUAUGUUUAUUAUGUUGUUAUCAUAUUUGUAAACCAUGUGACUAUUGUGUAUGUAUCAUUUGAGAGGAGUUUCUUGUAUACAUAUGAUUCAGAGCGGGGCUAGUUUUUGGGUUAAGUUUUGAAGCUGAUUUCUUAAUUGAAUGCUUAAGUGUAUGAUUUAGAUUCUUAGU